rnacentral:rRNA from 1 species
AUUGAACGCUGGCGGCAGGCCUAACACAUGCAAGUCGAGCGGAGCGGCGGACGGGUGAGUAAUGCCUGGGAAUCUGCCUGGGAGUGGGGGAUCACGUCCGGAAACGGGCGCUAAUAACGCAUACUAUCAGAUGAGCCUUGGGGGGAUGAGCUAGUUGGUUGGGUAAAGGCCUACCAAGGCGACUAUCCGUAACUGGUCUGAGAGGAGUAUCAGUCACACUGGGACUGAGCCACGGUCCAGACUCCUACGGGAGGCAGCAGUGUGGAAUAUUGCGCAAUGGGGGCAACCCUGACGCAGCCAUGCCGCGUGAAUUAAGAAGGCCUUCGGGUUGUAAAGUUCUUUCGGUAGCGAGGCGUUAACUACAGAAGAAGCACCGGCUAACUCCGUGCCAGCAGCCGCGGUAAGAC